rnacentral:rRNA from 1 species
AUUGAACGCUGGCGGCAGGCUUAACACAUGCAAGUCGAACGGAGUGGCGCACGGGUGAGUAAUGUAUCGGAACGUGCCCAGUAGCGGGGGAUAACUACGCGAAAGCGUAGCUAAUACCGCAUACUAUUGGAGCGGCCGAUAUCGGAUUAGCUAGUUGGUGGGGUAACGGCUCACCAAGGCGACGAUCCGUAGCUGGUUUGAGAGGACGACCAGCCACACUGGGACUGAGACACGGCCCAGCCUCCUACGGGAGGCAGCAUGGGGGAAUUUUGGACAAUGGGAGAAACCCUGAUCCAGCCAUCCCGCGUGUGCGAUGAAGGCCUUCGGGUUGUAAAGCACUUUUGGCAGGAAAGCGGUACCUGCAGAAUAAGCACCGGCUAACUACGUGCCAGCAGCCGCGGUAAUU